AGUAAAGAAAUGAACCAGUGUGGAGACAGAAUGUAUAAUUUUUAAUGAAAUAUUUGAACAAAUAACUCAGGCAUUCUCUGAAAGUGCAAAUGCAUUUACUUUCUGUCGAGGUACAUCAGGAAAUAUGUUUAAGCACAUGUUCCAGCACCGAUGAAGAAAUUAUAACAAAGAAGUUGGGAGUAUUAUAAAAUUAAAUAAAUUUGUCUUGCAUCAAUCAUAAACUUGAAAAACAAUAUAACCCUAACAUACUUUAAGUAAAUAAAUUGAUACAGAGAAAUAAGAUA